rnacentral:tRNA from 1 species
GUUUUUGUAGCUUAUCUUUAAGAGCAUUUCAGUGAAGUUGAAAAGGAAACAUAGUUGUUCAAAAACA